UACGUAGGGUGCAAGCGUUGUCCGGAAUUAUUGGGCGUAAAGGGCGCGUAGGCGGCAUUGCAAGUGGAAGGUGAAAUCCCUCGGCUUAACCGGGGAACUGCGUCUGAUACUGGAUGGCUUGAGUGUGGGAGAGGGAUGCGGAAUUCCAGGUGUAGCGGUGAAAUGCGUAGAUAUCUGGAGGAACACCGGUGGCGAAGGCGGCAUCCUGGACCAUUACUGACGCUGAGGAGCGAAAGCCAGGGGAGCAAACGGG
rnacentral:rRNA from 1 species